ensembl:lncRNA
GGUCUACCCUAGAUAUUCUGUGUUUCAUAAGCAUUUUAAUUACAAUUUAUACCAAUUUCAGCUCUCUUAGAAAAAAUAAGAGAGACCUUUUUUCCAGGAUUGACCAGAAGGAAGGAAAGGUGGCCAAAGACAUAUUCCGAGGCUCCCUUGUCAGCUGACAUCGGCUGGGUCUAACGUGAGGUGGCUGAGGGCAGAGUAGAAGGUGAGAAAAUGAAAGAAAACAAGGUACUCUGCUAGAGCCUGGGGAGACAGGGAACAGGCAGAGAUGAUCCUUGCCCCCCAGAGCUUGUGGAGGAGACAGACAAAAAUGAGGACACACAGUGAACUCAGGAUGAAGAAUGAAAUGAUGCCAGAUCUCAAAGUCUACGUUCCAUGGACAAAGAUAAAUCAAGUAGAUGUGCAACUAGAACAAAGUAACAUAUGCUCCUAGAAUCAUAGAAAAUGCUCAAGGGUCUGAAAGGAAGCAACAAUUUAAAAGAGACAACUAACAUAGGAUCUAAAAACCAACAUUAAAGGCCAAGCUACCGAAUCUCCUCGGAAGGUUCUACCUUGUGUCGUGGCCGUCAACACAGCGGGAAAUGCAAUUUGCUGCUCAUCUUAGAGAUUUCCUUUCACACUCUGGGUGUGAGCAUAAAGGGAUUUCUCUUUACACUGGUUUCAUCCUUGUCUGAUCCUCUUUCCAAAGGCACCACAUUUCUCUAGAGAGUGUGUCCCAAAUGCCGUCUGUCUACGAAGCUCUUUACAAACAUUAAUAGACAAAUGGUUAGUUUAUAUAAAGCACACAUGUAUUGCUCUGACAUAAGCAGCGAGGAGCCCAGUUUACAUUUUUUGUCUUUCUUUUAAAAAGGAAUGAGAAA